UCUCAAACACUCCCACGAGUGAGAGGUUGUGAGUUCAAUUCCCAUCAAUAGUGUUUGGAGAAAUUUCUCCCGUGAUUAUGAUGUGGCUAGGUGUUCUUCAGCGAAAGUCCCUGAGUAGCAGAAUUGCUCGAGUUGCAAGGUGGCGGUGUGAACGCUUAGGUAGUAGCAUCAGUAGCCUUCGGGCCUUGUCUUUGUAAGCCUUCGGGCCAUGAUUAAUAUACCA
rnacentral:lncRNA from 1 species